CUAAGAAUAGUUUAGUUUAGAAUCCUAGCUUUGGGAGUUAGGGGUGGGAGUUAGAAUCUCCCUUCUUUGA
rnacentral:tRNA from 1 species